rnacentral:rRNA from 1 species
UACGGGGGGAGCAAGCGUUGUUCGGAUUUACUGGGCGUAAAGGGCGCGUAGGCGGUCAGCACAAGUCAGUUGUGAAAUCUCCGGGCUUAACUCGGAAAGGUCAACUGAUACUGUGCGACUAGAGUGCAGAAGGGGCAACUGGAAUUCUCGGUGUAGCGGUGAAAUGCGUAGAUAUCGAGAGGAACACCUGCGGCGAAGGCGGGUUGCUGGGCCGACACUGACGCUGAAGCGCGAAAGCCAGGGGAGCGAACGGG